rnacentral:rRNA from 1 species
CGGACGGGUGAGUAAUGCAUCGGAACGUGCCCAGGAGUGGGGGAUAACGUAGCGAAAGUUACGCUAAUACCGCAUACGUACUGAGAUAGAAAGCGGGGGAUCGAAAGACCUCGCGCUCAUGGAGCGGCCGAUGUCGGAUUAGCUAGUUGGUGGGGUAAAAGCUCACCAAGGCGACGAUCCGUAGCUGGUCUGAGAGGACGACCAGCCACACUGGGACUGAGACACGGCCCAGACUCCUACGGGAGGCAGCAGUGGGGAAUCUUGGACAAUGGGGGAAACCCUGAUCCAGCAAUGCCGCGUGUGGGAUGAAGGCCCUCGGGUUGUAAACCACUUUUGGCAGGAAAGAAAUCGCCUGUGCUAAUACCAUGGGCGGAUGACGGUACCUGCAGAAUAAGCACCGGCUAACUACGUGCCAGCAGCCGCGGUAAUACGUAGGGUGCGAGCGUUAAUCGGAAUUACUGGGCGUAAAGCGUGCGCAGGCGGUUUUGUAAGACAGAUGUGAAAUCCCCGGGCUUAACCUGGGAACUGCAUUUGUGACUGCAAGACUAGAGUGUGUCAGAGGGAGGUGGAAUUCCGCGUGUAGCAGUGAAAUGCGUAGAGAUGCGGAAGAACACCGAUGGCGAAGGCAGCCUCCUGGGAUAACACUGACGCUCAGGCACGAAAGCGUGGGGAGCAAGCAGGAUUAGAUACCCUGGUAGUCCACGCCCUAAACGAUGUCAACUAGUUGUUGGGGAUUCAUUUCCUUAGUAACGUAGCUAACGCGUGAAGUUGACCGCCUGGGGAGUACGGCCGCAAGGUUAAAACUCAAAGGAAUUGACGGGGACCCGCACAAGCGGUGGAUGAUGUGGAUUAAUUCGAUGCAACGCGAAAAACCUUACCUACCCUUGACAUGUCGAGAACUUUUCAGAGAUGAAUUGGUGCCCGAAAGGGAACUCGAACACAGGUGCUGCAUGGCUGUCGUCAGCUCGUGUCGUGAGAUGUUGGGUUAAGUCCCGCAACGAGCGCAACCCUUGUCCUUAGUUGCUACGCAAGAGCACUCUAAGGAUACUGCCGGUGACAAACCGGAGGAAGGUGGGGAUGACGUCAAGCCCUCAUGGCCCUUAUGGGUAGGGCUUCAGACGUCAUACAAUGGUCGGUACA